UGAGUCAGCCGGGCGGCCGCGUUGCACGGCGGCGUCGUCGAGCGAAAAGCCUGACGGCGGCGGGUGCGCCGAGGAACGUCCGGGCUCCACAGGGAACGGUGGUGGGUAACGCCCACCCGGGGUGACCCGCGGGAAAGCGCCACAGAAAACAAACCGCCCGCAAGGGUAAGGGUGAAAAGGCGGUGUAAGAGACCACCGCGCUUCCGGUGACGGAAGCGGCACGGCAAGCCCCACCGGGAGCAAGAUCAGACAGCGCGCGUUGACGCUUCCCGCCGAGCGCGCGGGUGGAUUGCUAGAGUCUGCCGGCAACGGUAGGCGUAGAUGGAUGGUCGCCGCCCAGGCUCCUGGAGCUUGGGCACAGAACCCGGCGUAUAGGCUGACUCAUUCG
rfam:Actinobaculum massiliae ACS-171-V-Col2 genomic scaffold supercont1.1, whole genome shotgun sequence.